UUAACACAAUAAGUAUCCGCCUUGGAAUACGGUCGCAAGAUUAAAACUCAAAGGAAUUGACGGGGGCCCCGCACAAGCAGCGGAGCAUGUGGUUUAAUUCGAAGCAACGCGAAGAACCUUACCUAGACUUGACAUCUCCUGAAUAGCGUAGAGAUACGUGAAGCCCUUCGGGGCAGGAAGACAGGUGGUGCAUGGUUGUCGUCAGCUCGUGUCGUGAGAUGUUGGGUUAAGUCCCGCAACGAGCGCAACCCUUAUCAUUAGUUGCUACCAUUAAGUUGAGCACUCUAGUGAGACUGCCCGGGUUAACCGGGAGGAAGGCGGGGAUGACGUCAAAUCAUCAUGCCCCUUAUGUCUNAGGGCUACACACGUGCUACAAUGGUGAGAACAACGAGAUGCAANACCGCGAGGUGGAGCCAAACUUGAAAAUUCAUCCCAGUUCGGAUUGCAGGCUGAAAUUCGNCGUGCAUNAAGUUGCAUUUGCUAGUAAUCGCGAAUCAGAA
rnacentral:rRNA from 1 species